CGAGGGACACGUCUUUCCUUGCACGUCAAUCACAACUCUGACAGUGAUGUGUUGGUGUGUAUUCUCUCACGAUCGUUCUGUAGGCCAAUGAUGAUGGAUUAAACACUGCGUCAAAGGAAACGAUCGCUAUGUCACAAAGGAAUUACUGGGACUUCAAGGGCCAUUACGGAUGACAGUAUGCCCUGCCGGAGCUAUUCAGGACUUGGGAAGGGCCUUGGACGACUGUUGGAGGGAUCCUGAUAGUCUUGAUAAAGAUAAAUACAAAUCAAAUCGGAAUCUGACGAACACUGAUGGCUGACAAAUUGACACGAAUAUGUAGACACUUAAUUGAAUGACUGACCCAGUUCAUUUGGUGAAAGGAUUCCUCAACAGAGGAAUGGUUUUAAAGAAAUGCAUCGACUCAUCAUUUCGACACUAGGCAGAUUCUGGGAGCCAUAAUCCGGACUUUUGACAUCCAUUUCCGGCUCUUUUUUUAAAUUAAUUAGCAUUCAUUUAAUCUUUUAGAAGUCUAUGUUAGAAUUGUUUCAAUUAUUUUUAUUUAUGGAUUUAAUUGCUUCAAGCAUGAGUGAUUGUGACUCUGUGACAUUGUUCACAUUUCUCACACAUGGUUGACUAUGGUUAGUAGGAGUGAUAAUGCUAUGUCACGUGUCAGUGGCCAGUAACCUUCCAGUGUAUUUUAUAUACAAAGAAGUAAUUUGCAGUCCAGAAAAUUGUAAAAUAUUUGAGGCAAAGCGCCAAUUUAUCAAGAUACAAACCUCUUGUAUAUUUUAAGUAUAUACAUGUUUAUUUAGCAUAGCGCAUGAAUAUGAAAGCAAGAAUUAUGUUGAAGUUUGCUGAGGCAUAACGGCUUAAAGUCAAGAUGGUUGUAGCUUUGUUAAUUAAACCAAGCUAAUCAAAGUCAAGUACUCAGGUAACAUAUUUCACCGGUGUUAAUGAUGUAAAAUAUAAAUGGGUGAGCAACUAUGGUGAAUAAUUAUUUAUUGUUUUGAUAUAUACUGUGAAAUCAGAUAUUUUUGUGGGGUAUAAAUUCCGUUGUUUCCUGAAAAAACACACCCAUGUUUGAAUACUUAGGUAUAUGAAUUUGUGGAUUAGAACUACCCACGCAAACGGAGGAUUGCUUUAUAUUAAAGUCUCAAUUUCUUCACGGACCUAUGCAUUCGUGGAUAAAGAUUACCAAUGAAAAAUAAUAAAAAAGUAAUUUCACAAGUGAGAAUGGGUCACUUGAUUCGUCGUCUGAAGUAGGAAGUAGUUUAUAUAUUAUGCACUUAAAUAUUAGGAGCAUUAGGAAUAUUAAAUUUCCUUGAACACUUUUGUAAUGAUGUAGAUAAUGUAUGCCUUACAGAAACUCACUUGGAUGAAUGAGUAAAAGACACAGAUAUUGGCUUUGAUAAUUACCCAAAUGUUAUUAGGAAAGAUAGAAAUAUGUUCGAUAGUGGUGUUGCAGUUUACUCUUCUACUGACGCUAGUGUCAAGCGUAGAUUAGACAUUGAUUAGCUCAAUUAACUGGACUGAAUUGUUUAAAUUGACUAACGAUCCAGAUCAUAAAUGUAACAUACUAACAAAUACGAUACUGUCUAUUUUCGAAAAACAUGUACCAACCAAAUAUGUAAAGGUAAGUCCAAUUGACAAACUAUGGAUGACCCGUGAGCUAAGAAUAGUAAAAAGGACUAGAAAUCGACUUAAAAAUAGAUAUUAGAAAGAAAACACAAUUAUCUCUCGCAAAAUAUUUAUUAAAAUCUAGAAAUAAAGUAAGUAACAUGAUGAAAUUUGCUGGAGAAAUAUUUAUUGAAAACAUCAAUGCGUUAAUUGACAGAAACUCUAACAAUCCAAAGGUGCAUUGGAAAUUAAUGCGAAUAUCACGGAAAGGGAACAAAUCUACCGACAUACCACCGCUGUACGAUAGAAAUACCAACCGUAGUAUUACAGACGAGUUUGGUAAAAGUGAACUCCUAAAGACAUUCUUCCAGUCCAUUUCUAAUUUAGACGACACUCACUUCCCACUACCUGUAUUCGACAACAAAACCGAUGUUCACAUAAAUAAUGUUUUAGUCGCAAGAUGUUCUUGAUAUUAUCAAUAUACUCGAUAUAAACAAGGCAUCAGGACCUGAUGAAUUAGUCAUAGAAUGUUAAAGUUAAUUGCC